GGGUGAGUAACACGUAUGAAACCUGCCCGUAGCAGGGGGAUAAGCGGAAGAAAUUCCGUCUAAUACCGCGUAACAACCCGAGGAGGCAUCUCCUCGGGUUUAAAGGAAGCGAUUCCGGCUACGGAUGGUCAUGCGUCGCAUUAGCUAGUUGGCGGGGUAACGGCCCACCAAGGCGACGAUGCGUAGGGGUUCUGAGAGGAAGGUCCCCCACACUGGUACUGAGACACGGACCAGACUCCUACGGGAGGCAGCAGUGAGGAAUAUUGGUCAAUGGCCGCAGGGCUGAACCAGCCAAGUCGCGUGAGGGAUGACGGUCCUAUGGAUUGUAAACCUCUUUUGUCAGGGAGCAAAGGGCGCCACGUGUGGCGUUUUGCGAGUACCUGAGGAAAAAGCAUCGGCUAACUCCGUGCCAGCAGCCGCGGUAAUACGGAGGAUGCGAGCGUUAUCCGGAUUUAUUGGGUUUAAAGGGUGCGCAGGCGGAAUGUCAAGUCAGCGGUAAAAUUUCGGGGCUCAACCCCGUCGUGCCGUUGAAACUGGCGUUCUUGAGUGAGCGAGAAGUAUGCGGAAUGCGUGGUGUAGCGGUGAAAUGCAUAGAUAUCACGCAGAACUCCGAUUGCGAAGGCAGCAUACCGGCGCUCAACUGACGCUCAUGCACGAAAGCGUGGGUAUCGAACAGGAUUAGAUACCCUGGUAGUCCACGCAGUAAACGAU
rnacentral:rRNA from 1 species